rnacentral:piRNA from 2 species
UCUAAAGCUCUGCUUAGAUCAUGGUUCUC